CCUACGGGAGGCAGCAGUGAGGAAUAUUGGUCAAUGGCCGAGAGGCUGAACCAGCCAAGUCGCGUGAGGGAAGACGGCCCUACGGGUUGUAAACCUCUUUUGUCGGGGAGCAAAGAGAGUCACAUGGUACUCAUUGAGUGUACCCGAACAAACAGCAUCGGCUAACCCCGUGCCAGCAGCCGCGGUCAUACGGGGGAUGCGAGCGUUAUGCGGAUUUAUUGGGUUUAAAGGGUGCGCAGGCGGAGGUGCAAGUCAUCGGUAAAAAUGCGGGGCUCAACCCCGUAGUGCCGUUGAGACUGAAACCCUUGAGUACGCGAGAGGUAUGCGGAAUGCGUGGUGUAGCGGUGAAAUGCAUAGAUAUAACGCAGAACUCCGAUUGCGAAGGCAGCAUACCGGCGCGAAACUGACGCUCAUGCACGAAAGCGUGGGUAUCGAACAGGAUUAGAUACCCUAGUAGUC
rnacentral:rRNA from 1 species